rnacentral:rRNA from 2 species
UUGGAAAAAAAUUGAUCCUGGCUCAGGACGAACGCUGGCGGCGUGCCUAAUACAUGCAAGUCGAGCGAACUUCUUUAGAGCUUGCUUUAAAGAAGUUAGCGGCGGACGGGUGAGUAACACGUGGGCAACCUGCCUGUAAGACUGGGAUAACUUCGGGAAACCGGAGCUAAUACCGGAUAAUAUAUAGUACCUCCUGGUACUAUAUUGAAAGAUGGUUUCGGCUAUCACUUACAGAUGGGCCCGCGGCGCAUUAGCUAGUUGGUGAGGUAACGGCUCACCAAGGCAACGAUGCGUAGCCGACCUGAGAGGGUGAUCGGCCACACUGGGACUGAGACACGGCCCAGACUCCUACGGGAGGCAGCAGUAGGGAAUCUUCCACAAUGGACGAAAGUCUGAUGGAGCAACGCCGCGUGAGCGAUGAAGGCCUUCGGGUCGUAAAGCUCUGUUGUUAGGGAAGAACAAUGCGAGAGUAACUGCUCGCACCUUGACGGUACCUAACCAGAAAGGCAGGCAAUCAUU